rnacentral:rRNA from 1 species
CCUACGGGUGGCAGCAGUGGGGAAUAUUGGACAAUGGGGGGAACCCUGAUCCAGCCAUGCCGCGUGUGUGAAGAAGGCCCUCGGGUUGUAAAGCACUUUCAGUGAGGAAGAACGCCUGGUGGUUAAUACCCAUCAGGAAAGACAUCACUCACAGAAGAAGCACCGGCUAACUCCGUGCCAGCAGCCGCGGUAAUACGGAGGGUGCGAGCGUUAAUCGGAAUUACUGGGCGUAAAGCGCGCGUAGGUGGCUUGAUAAGCCGGUUGUGAAAGCCCCGGGCUCAACCUGGGAACGGCAUCCGGAACUGUCAAGCUAGAGUGCAGGGGAGGAAGGUAGAAUUCCCGGUGUAGCGGUGAAAUGCGUAGAGAUCGGGAGGAAUACCAGUGGCGAAGGCGGCCUUCUGGACUGACACUGACACUGAGGUGCGAAAGCGUGGGUAGCAAACAGGAUUAGAUACCCGGGUAGUC